UAUUUAUAAUUUAGUAGCAUAAAAGUAAUAAUAGUUUGUAUUUUUAAUAAAAACCAAUGUUCAUGCAUAAUUAAUUAAUAUUCAUAUUUCAAAAUCCUAAAAUCAAAUUAAAUGUCAUGCAGGCUAUAAAAUAAAACCAAAUCUUAAGUUCCAUGUAACAAUUCAAAAUAAAAUAUUAUAUUCCUCAAAUAAUAAAACAAAUAACGAGUUGAGACUCUCCGGAUGCUGUGUUCGCGUCCUAACCUGGUGGGUUAUCUGUAAGGAUGAAAAUUUAAGGGGGAGUGAGCUAUAACACUCAGUGGGAGUUCUAUCACAAGAAAAUCAGUGCAAAUUAAUAAACUAAGUAUACAUAAUAACAAUUUUUAGUACGGUAAUAAUCAUAUGAUAUAAUAGUAUUUUUGGCAGUUCAAUUCUCAUACUUAUGCGUGUCGAUGCAAUGCUAUACAAGUUAAGUUUAUCAAUAAAGAUAGGUCCUACCCCACCGCUACACUCUACAGUAAGAGUUCCCUAGAAAUCUUAUAUCUCGGACACUCUAGUUUGUGGAUGAACCACAAGAGUUGCAGGUUAAUAUGCUACCAAUAGUUGUGAAUACACAAUGGGUUUGCAGAUAGAAGUUGCUAGUAAAAGAUGUGGAUAAACCACUAGUAUUUGUAGGUUAAUACGCUGCCAAUGGUUGUGAAUACACGGGUUUGCAGAUAAAAACUAUCAUUAAUUUGUGGAUAAACCACCAGUAUUUUGCAGUUAAAAUUGCCAGUACUUCCUCCUUAAAAAACAUCCUGCCCCAUGCAAUGCAGUAUGACAUGUAAGCAUCAAUACAGUACAGAAACAGUAGACAUGUUUAGCAUGUAUCUAGAUCAACAAUAGUAGUAGACAUGAUUGUCCUGGAUUUGGUAUAUCAAUAUAGUAAGCAUGGCUAUUCACGCAAUUAAUAAUUCAGUGAUACUAGUAAAAAUAACAAUUAAUCAGUAAUUUAGUCAUAGAAGACAUGUAUUCGUCACAUAUCAUGCACAUAUAGUAAUAAUCUAAUAAAUCAAAUAAUUGAUUCCAUAUUAUUCAUAAUAUCAGAGACUUAGUUAAAAGAGAUAAAGUACUAAAAACAAUUCAAUGAUCAUGCAAGGACUAAAUUGAAAAUUUUACAAAAAUUUUAGGCAAAAUUGUAAAAUAGGGGCACAUGGCCUUGUGGAGGGGUUACACGGUCAUAUGACUUGUAACAGCCCGUUUUUCAGUGGUGUCAGAAACAGUAGUUUCGGGGCCACCAAAUCUGACGAGUAAGUUCGUAAAUAUUAUUAUUUAAUAUUUAUGAGUCAAAUGUGAUUUUUAAAAAAAAUUUUUUACUUGAUAAUUUAUAUUAUAUAAGUGAUUUAUUAAGUUCAAGUGGUUUUAAAAGAUGAGGUAUCGAGACCUUAUUUUUAUAAACUGAGCCGUAAAUAUUUUUAUAAAUAUUUACGGAGUGUUAUUAAGGUGGUAUUAAAGUUUCGUUAAGAAAUUUUAACGUUUCGAUAAUUAAUUAAAAAUGACCAAAUUUAAAAAAAAAGUGCAUUCCCGGUGCUCUGUUCCCAUCAAUCAGACUCGUAAAUAUUUUUAAUAAAUAUUUACGAAGCUAGUUGUGUAGUUAAUUAGGUUUUGGUUAAGUGAAUUUACUUGAAUUAAAAGUAAUUAAGUAUAAGUACUAAAUUACAUAUAGGGUAAAAGUUGAAUUAUAGAUUAAAGAAAAAUUAAAGGGACUAAAGAAGUAAUUAUGCCAUUGUUCUUUAAUGAGGCGGCAUAAGAUAAUAUGUUUUAUAAAUUUAAUAUAUGUUAUAAUAAAAUAUGUUUACUUAAUUAAUAAGUAUAUAUUAUAUUAUAAUAAAACAAAUAAAAAAAGAAAGAAAGAAAAGAAAGCCAAAGCCAAACGAAAAUAGAAAGGAAAGAAAAAAAAAAAAGAAAGAGUGAAAGAAAGACGCAAGGCUAGGGACUUUUUGGGUUUAAAGUUCAAUUGGUUAGUUAAUUUAGUUCAUUUUUCUUGUAAUUUUUAUGGUUUUGGAAUCCCGGUAUUAAAUACUACUCGAUCCAUACCAAAAUUUUAGAAAUUAUUGAUGUAAUAGCCCAUUUUUGCCCGGCCCAUUCAAAAUUAAACCAACCCAAAAUCAUAACAUUGCCCAAAUACCCUUGGCCUAAUACACUAGGCCCUAAACCUAAGCCCCUUACACCAAGAAAACAAACAGCAGAAACACUAACAGUCAGCAGCAGAUCGACGCCACCAUUGUCCCACGUCGCAGUAACCUCCAGUGCGUGCACGCCCCACGUUCGGCAGCCUCCCAAACUGUCCCACAUCUUCGCUGGCACGUCCACUCGCACAACGCUCACACAUCUGCAAGCCACAUACAACACUAAUAGGAUAUACACACAGCAAAACAGUUGUAAAAAGAUUUAGGGAGGGCUAUAUAAAGGCCAAUGAUUUUCUGUAACUGGGAGAAAAAUUUUGUAUUAAAAAGAGAAAAAUUUUGUAUUGGAAAAAUACUGAAAUACAAACAAAGAAUCAAAAACAAUUUUUGAAGGUAAUUUUCUUUGUGUUUUAUUUUUUUUUCUUUGCUUCCCUGUUUUUGGUGCAAAAGAAAAAGCAAAAAGAAAAGGGCGAAACUUACCUGAAUCGGAGUCGGCGGCGAAGCUUGAACGACGGUGGCGUGGCGGUAGUUAGGGCUUUAAAGAAGGCCUAACAGAUUCCUCUUUCUUCCCUCUGUUGUUUUAAAACAAAAAAGAAAAAAAGGAAGAUGAAGCAAUUUUGCGCCUAUUGCUGCUGCAGAGUAGGCUUUUAAUUGGAGAUGAAAAGGGUUUUAAACACUGAUGGGUUAUUUGCGUUUUAAUCCUUCAUUUUAUCCCAUCAGUUCAAAAUCAUUAUGGUUUGUUU
rnacentral:lncRNA from 1 species